UACGUAGGGGGCAAGCGUUGUCCGGAUUUAUUGGGCGUAAAGAGCAUGUAGGCGGCCUGACAGGUCUGCUGUGAAAACUCGAGGCUCAACCUCGAGAUGUCGGCGGAAACCGUCUGGCUAGAGUCCGGAAAAGGAGAGUGGAAUUCCUGGUGUAGCGGUGAAAUGCGCAGAUAUCAGGAAGAACACCUAUGGCGAAGGCAGCUCUCUGGGACGGUACUGACGCUGAGACGCGAAAGCGUGGGGAGCGAACCGG
rnacentral:rRNA from 1 species